rnacentral:rRNA from 1 species
UGGGGAAUAUUGGACAAUGGGCGCAAGCCUGAUCCAGCCAUGCCGCGUGUGUGAUGAAGGCCCUAGGGUUGUAAAGCUCUUUCACCGGUGAAGAUAAUGACGGUAACCGGAGAAGAAGCCCCGGCUAACUUCGUGCCAGCAGCCGCGGUAAUACGAAGGGGGCUAGCGUUGUUCGGAUUUACUGGGCGUAAAGCGCACGUAGGCGGACUUUUAAGUCAGGGGUGAAAUCCCGGGGCUCAACCCCGGAACUGCCUUUGAUACUGGAAGUCUUGAGUAUGGUAGAGGUGAGUGGAAUUCCGAGUGUAGAGGUGAAAUUCGUAGAUAUUCGGGGGAACACCAGUGGCGAAGGCGGCUCACUGGACCAUUACUGACGCUGAGGUGCGAGAGAGUGGGGAGCAAACAGG